rnacentral:rRNA from 1 species
GACGAACGCUGGCGGCGUGCUUAACACAUGCAAGUCGAACGGAAAGGCCCUGCUUUUGUGGGGUGCUCGAGUGGCGAACGGGUGAGUAACACGUGAGUAACCUGCCCUUGACUUUGGGAUAACUUCAGGAAACUGGGGCUCAUAUCGGAUAGGAGCUCCUGCUGCAUGGUGGGGGUUGGAAAGUUUCGGCGGUUGGGGAUGGACUCGCGGCUUAUCAGCUUGUUGGUGGGGUAGUGGCUUACCAAGGCUUUGACGGGUAGCCGGCCUGAGAGGGUGACCGGCCACAUUGGGACUGAGAGACGGCCCAGACUCCUACGGGAGGCAGCAGUGGGGAAUAUGACACAAUGGGCGGAAGCCUGAUGCAGCAACGCCGCGUGCGGGAUGACGGCCUUCGGGUUGUAAACCGCUGUCGCCUGUGACGAAGCGGGAGUGACGGUAAUGGGUAAAGAAGCACCGGCUAACUACGUG